AACUCUGAGCUUGAGGCGGCACAACUCACAUUUGUGCAGAGAGCUACAAGCCACAUGCAGUUCUCCAACCUGCUGUGCAUAUUUGUGGCCUUCAGCUACUCUGGAUUCAGUGUGGCCCAGAAGGUUACUCAAGCCCAGCUACCAAUAUCCAUGCCAGUGGGGAAAACAGUCACCCUGAACUGCCUUGUUCUUCUGACCAGAAUGUAAAAAAUGAUCGCUAUUCUGUCAACUUCCAGAAAGCAAGGAAAUCCAUCGACUUCAUCAUUUCAGCCUUACAGCUAGAAGAUUCAGCAACGUAUCUCUGUGCUCUCUGGGAACUCACA